CAGCGUGAAUGACCAGUGCACCGUCCACUUGUCUUUAAAGGCCUUCAUCUGGUAACUGGCAACGACUCCAGAGUUCUAUGAAACAUGCUUUUAYGUACAUGAGAAAUUCAAAUGAGGUAAAGAAUUACCAAGGACAAACCACCCAGGAUGCCAGAAAAGAAGCAGCCUUGGCCACCAUACAGUUGGAGAGCUGACUAUUCUCCCUGAGGAAGAAGGAAACACUCCAGCCCACAUCUGCUGCUGUUCCUUCAAGAAGUUUGAAACCUUUGUGAAACAGACUUUAUUYAUUGCUGAAAUUUUAAAAAUGUUUUGAUGGGAACAAAGUUUUAGUUCUAUGUGUAGAUAAAGCUGGUGAUGUUUCAUGUUUUUAAAAUGUAUUCUUUUGAGGCAAUGAGUUUGCAUACAUUUUUAAAUUCCGCUUAAUGUGUUUUACAGUGUAAAUGUGUAMAAACUUGAUUGUUUUUGUAUUUCAUGUGUUUCAUUGGCCACAUUGACCUUUGGUUAGGUGCUAAGUAUAUUUAAUUUUUUUAAAUAAAACAUUGACCCAUGUGAACUUAAGGUAAGGGUUCAGUCUUACACUUCUAAUAACAAGGUUAUAAGAGUAAUUUAUUUAGCAAGGGAUCUCUU